CCCAGAGACAACACGUUGUGGUCCGCCCCCAGCUGCCAAGUGGACAUUUGUUGUCAAGUCUGCAUAUGGGUGCCACACACGCACAUUUCGCUCGGCAAAUAGGAGAGAAAAUUGCCUUCCAUAAAGUUGAUGCAAUCUUCCAAUGCAUUUCAACAAUAUUGCCAAAUGACCAGGAAUGGAUUACCGCCGACACGGUCACUUCUGCUGCAUGUCAACCGUCAAACCACUGGUGUUGGCUACGUACAAGACCUGGUGGAUUCGUUGUUCAGCAGCGUCGUGGGAACCCCCUACCAUAUCAGGAGCUGUUACAGAAGGCUGAGGCAGUGGCCAGACACCAGUCCUGCUUCAGAGUAAUGGAGGACACUUGAAUCAGGUUGGUCACAUUUGAUCUGGUCAAAAGUCCUGGAAUUCACCUAACCACCAUUGAUAAUGUAAUCAGUGCUGUGUGUACAGUAUAUGUGUGUCUUGUAUGUUGUAAGGAGGUGCCCCCUUCCACUGUGCCAAUGGACUACUCCUGGGCCUGAGUGAGUAAUGCCAACCAGUCAGUGCCAUGCUGGCACAUGUCCCUUGUGAAUUAGCUGUGAAUCAUAAUCUCUGAUUGGCUAUGUUCAACCGUGUAUUUACUGUUGGCUUCCAUGACUGUAUGGUGACGGUCUUUCUCUCUCUCCCUCCCUCUGUGAUAAAGGAGCUGGGUCAGAUAUAGGAGCCUAAGUCAGGCUCCUUCAUGACCAGGAUCCUGGAGCUGAUCUACGCUGCCAUGGACAUCAGGCAUUGGCAAACACCUCAGAAGGGACAACAGUUGAUAAAUGGAGGACAGAAGAGAUACUUUUGAAAUGGAGACCUCAGGUUGAUACUGAUGUCUGAACUGGGACAGAGAUCUUGCACUCAGCAUUCAAAUUAUACAAGAUAUCUAUUACUUGUUAUGGUCUUUUGUUAUUAUUGAAUUGGACGGUACUAUCAAUGGGGGGGGGGACGAAGCCAUACAGAAAGCACAUUGUUAUAUUAGCAGAACACUGCUUCUACAGUGUUAUGUGAAGUAUGGUUUAUUCUACAUGGAACUGUUACAAUUGAACAUUAUCUACGUAAGUGGCUCUGGAUAAGAGCGUCUGCUAAAUGACUAAAAUGUCAAAUGUAAAUGUAAUAAGUUCAGCAAUUGCACUCUUCUCAUAUUACUGAUUAGGCUACUAACCUCCUGGAGGAAGCUUUGAAUUUGUCAGUAGCCUACAGAGUGGUAUGAGAAGUGUGCCAUCCUCCACAUCUGCCUGUAGUUAUUGAACUCUGCCUGCUGGACCAAUGGGUUGAAGCAAACUGUCAUAUCCAGGAUGGAGUGUCAUGCACUCCACUUCUCCGGUCCCCUGACUGCACCUGUCCAUAACCUGUAAUACAUUACAUAGAUGGAAGGGACUUCAUCACCCACUGGAGACUUGAAGACAUAACCUCACCCAGUGUGUGGUUAGACAGCCAUUCUAGUUCUGGAUAGACAGCUGAAGUUGUACACUACAUACAACAUAUUGUUAUUUGCUAGGUAAGUGUAGGCAUACUGUCUUCAUAAGCACAUCAAUAUGAUAUUUACAGCAUAAACUGUUUUGUCUUUGUAACACGAACACACUCCACAUGUAGCCUACACCUGUAGGGAUGUUAGUAGUACUAGGAUUUUCCCCCCGGGAAAGAUCUAACAGAGGACAUAAGGAGAGACAAGACGAGACAAAAUUAGCCAGUUAUAGAACUAGUGUUUCUACAGCUAGUGUUGUAGGAGAGCUGAGCUGGCUCAAGACCGGGCAUUGAACUCACAGUUGUCACCGUUUUCACAGUAACAUGUCUUUACAUGAAGUGAUGAAACAUUGAAACUAAGUUGCAAGCUACUUUGGUAGCAAGGUGUUGUAGAAUGAGUGUCUUAUGAAACACAUUCCAGACACUG